rnacentral:rRNA from 1 species
AAAGAUUAAGCCAUGCAUGUCUAAGUAUAAACGAUCUAAUCGUGAAACCGCGAAUGGCUCAUUAUAACAGCUAUAAUUUACUUGAUCUUGACACUAUCCUACUUGGAUAACUGUGGUAAUUCUAGAGCUAAUACAUGCAUUAAAGCUCUGACCUCACGGGAAGAGUGCACUUAUUAGAACAAAACCAAUCGGCUUCGGCUGUUUUCGGUUGACUCAUAGUAACUGAGCUGAUCGCACGGUCUUGCACCGGCGACGUGUCUUUCAAGUAUCUGCCGUAUCAACUUUCGAUGGUAGUGUAUCUGACUACCAUGGUGAUCACGCGUAACGGAGAAUAAGGGUUCGGCUCCGGAGAGUUCGCCUGAGAAAUCGCGAACACAUCUAAGGAAGGCAGCAGGCGCGAAAAUUACCCACUCUCAGCACGAGGAGGUAGUGACGAAAAAUAACGAGACCGUUCUCUUAUGAGGCCGGUCAUCGGAAUGGGUACAAUUUAAACCCUUUAACGAGUAUCUAUGAGAGGGCAAGUCUGGUGCCAGCAGCCGCGGUAAUUCCAGCUCUCAAAGUGCAUAGAAUUAUUGCUGCGGUUAAAAAGCUCGUAGUUGGAUCUGUGCCAUAGGACGUGGUCCACCUUCUGGGUGCGUACUAUGUUCCUAGGCUUUUUGCUGGUUUUCCCGUCGUAGCCUUCAUUGGUUGCGGCGGGUGGCUGGCGAGUUUACUUUGAGAAAAUCAGAGUGCUCAACACAGGCGUAUCGCUUGAAUGAUUGUGCAUGGAAUAAUAGAAAAGGAUUUCGGUCCUCUUUUAUUGGUUUUGUGGACUGAGAUAAUGGUUAACAGGGACCAACGGGGGCAUUCGUAUCGCUGCGUGAGAGGUGAAAUUCUUGGACCGUAGCGAGACGCCCUACUGCGAAAGCAUUUGCCAAGAAUG